UACUUAUCAUGAGAAGCUAAGGGACUGGUCCGAUGAAGCUUCAGCAACCACUGUAUAACAGAAUGGUGCUACUUCCAGCAAGAGAAAUCUUGACAGAUAAGGG
rnacentral:ncRNA from 2 species